rnacentral:tmRNA from 1 species
GUGCUAAAUCUAACCGCACUGAGUUCGCUCUCGCUGCCUGAGCUUCGCGCCAGGAUUAACCAGUGAGCAGCCGCUCCGUUCACUCCUUCUCGUCUUUGGGAGGAUGCUGAGCGUCGUUGAGAAGACUUGCUUCAUCGGCUGAGUCACAGGGCCGGUGAGGGACUUUAACUGCGAAUAUGCUCGCCAUCAGUUGUCUGCGAUAUCGAUGGGGGCAGAAAAACCGCCGCAUGGCCAGCAGACUACGCACGUAGAAGACUGAGGGUUCGGUUAUCGGACCGGGGUUCGAUUCCCCGCAGCUCCACCA